CACACCGGUCAUCGAGACAAAUUACUGAUGUGAAAACAAAUUGUACAUCGUAGCGGCUUAAAUAAACAAUUACAUCUGAUUAAAGAUUAAAGAUUGCUGCCGAUUUAAAUCAAUUUGAGUACUUUUUGCAUAUAUUUAAUGCCGAAUGGGAAGCUGUGUUUAGACUCAAGUUGUCAAAAAUGGCAACGAGAUACUUGCCUGUUGGAUUUAAGGUGAAAGAUCUUGAAGGUGCAUAAAAUAAGUGGCGCUGGGAAUGGUUACACGAGAAAGACUACGCUGUAGUCUACGGGCGGGGAGUGAACUGGUUGAGAAAAGUGGAAGCUUGUGGAAAAGCGAUUUGAAAAGUUUGUAAGAAAACCCUAAAUUAUCAGUCUUGUGGGAAGAAGGCAUUUCGUCUCCACGCAGAGGACCCUAAUCACAUAAAGAAUAUAAGAACCAUCAAGACCAACCAGGUUUGACCGGGUUCUUCAAAAGCAACACCUGCAGUCGAGUCCAUGCCAGACAGUGGGUGCAUGUGAAUGAAUUGCCUUUUGACUAACUUUUGUGUGUUCCUUAUCAAAUACAUGAAGAUUUUCAAA